AGUGAACGCUGGCGGUAGGCCUAACACAUGCAAGUCGAACGGCAGCACAGUAAGAGCUUGCUCUUACGGGUGGCGAGUGGCGGACGGGUGAGGAAUACAUCGGAAUCUACUUUUUCGUGGGGGAUAACGUAGGGAAACUUACGCUAAUACCGCAUACGACCUACGGGUGAAAGCAGGGGAUCUUCGGACCUUGCGCGAUUGAAUGAGCCGAUGUCGGAUUAGUUAGUUGGCGGGGUAAAGGCCCACCAAGGCGACGAUCCGUAGCUGGUCUGAGAGGAUGAUCAGCCACACUGGAACUGAGACACGGUCCAGACUCCUACGGGAGGCAGCAGUGGGGAAUAUUGGACAAUGGGCGCAAGCCUGAUCCAGCCAUACCGCGUGGGUGAAGAAGGCCUUCGGGUUGUAAAGCCCUUUUGUUGGGAAAGAAAGGCAGCAGGUUAAUACCCCGCUGUUCUGACGGUACCCAAAGAAUAAGCACCGGCUAACUUCGUG
rnacentral:rRNA from 1 species